GUUUCCACUCACACGGUAGGCGGCUGUGCAAUUUCGUCUGGAGUCCCCAGACCCCUCCUCAUCCUUCCCAGGGUUGCUCUGAGGCCAUUCCUUGUCAUCUAGGAGGGGUCUACAUAAAAGCAUUUAUAAACACCUCCAAAUGGGAGCCAGGCGUGCCCACCUUUGGAGCACUUUUCUCUACUGCAAAUUUAUCUACUGCUCGUGAAAUCUCUGGAUUUAACUCUGAUGAAAGACUGGAGGCUGAAGGAGAACUUCAAUAUCAUAUAUUUUAAAGGUUGAUUCACAGUUUGGAGCAAGAAUUAAAGAACCACGAACUUCAAGGUAAAACGGGCAACGGCGUUGGGGCAAGCCUCUCUGCAUCUGCGUGUCCAGCCUCUCCUGCGUGCCAGAAGUUCCCAGGCAGGAGUGUGGUGGGACAUCCGGCUGGGGUAAGGACAGGCACCCUCCCACUGUGUCAGGGCCCAGAGAGUGGGUGGAGAAGCUCUGCAAGAGACCUGUGCAAGGGCGCCUUGCAGGAGCCUGCAGUCCCCACAGGUGUGUUUGUGGAUAACACUUGGGGAGCCCUGGCCUUUUGGGGUCACGGAGGGCUUGGCCUCUCACCUCAGAGCUGCAGAGAAGCCGCUUCUACAUCAGGACAUCAGAAGCUGGAACAGGAUGGCCGGCGAGGGGCCUCUUGUUGGGGUCACAGAGAUGGGUCGCAGAGAUGGCCCGUGUGGAAGGUUGGAUUCUCACCCCACCUCUGCCCCUAGAUGUCCUGGUGACCCUCCCCUCUGUAGUCUUGGUUUUUUGCAAAACAGUUAUGACCUCCUGCCAUACUGGGUACUUUGCUUAUGUAUUGUGUUUACUCUUUACUGUGUGUCUCUCCUGCUAAGGUCUACGAAGAAGGGUCUUUGUGGGUGGGGUUCUUAGAGGCAUCCCAAGUACCAGAAGCAGUCCCUGGACUAAGGGGCUCAAUAAAUAUUUUUUAUUUAUUAUUUUUUCUUUUUGAGAUGGAGUCUCGCUCUCUUGACCAGGCUGGAGUACAGUGGCACAAUCUUGGCUCACUGCAGCCUUCGCCUCCUGGGUUCAAGUGAUUUCCGGCUAAUUUUUGUAUUUUUAGUAGUGACGGGGUAUCACCAUGUUGGCCAGGCUGGUCACAAACUCCUGACCUCAAGUGAUCCACCCGCCUCAGCCUCCCAACAUGCUGGGAUUAUAGACAUGAGCCACCAUGCCUGGCCAAAUAUUUGUCAAAUUGAAUUUGUAUUUCCAUACAAAUUUUAGUCUGGAUAAAGUGCUUCAUGCCUGUAAUCCAAGCACUUUGAGAGGCUGAGGCGGGUGGAUGGCUUGAGCCCAGGAGUUUGAGACCAGCAUGGAAAACAUAGAGAAACCCCAUCUCAAUAUAAGAAGAAGAAGAAAAAGAAAAAAAAA
rnacentral:lncRNA from 1 species